rnacentral:tRNA from 1 species
GUUAUUGUAGCUUAAUUUUUUAAAGCACGGCACUGAAGUUGCCGAGACGGGGAACAGAAAAACCCCCACCAACA